rnacentral:rRNA from 11 species
AAACGAGGCUUAAAUACCCUAAAGGCACCUGAUUCUGUUUGAUCUUGGAAGCUAAGCAGGGUCAGCCCUGGUAAAUGGGAGACUAACAAUGUAGGCUUAUAUGUCAGAGGAAGGUGCUCUGUGUA